rnacentral:rRNA from 1 species
AGAGUUUGAUCAUGGCUCAGGAUGAACGCUGGCGGCGUGCCUAAUACAUGCAAGUCGAGCGAACAGACGAGGAGCUUGCUCCUCUGACGUUAGCGGCGGACGGGUGAGUAACACGUGGAUAACCUACCUAUAAGACUGGGAUAACUUCGGGAAACCGGAGCUAAUACCGGAUAAUAUAUUGAACCGCAUGGUUCAAUAGUGAAAGACGGUUUUGCUGUCACUUAUAGAUGGAUCCGCGCCGCAUUAGCUAGUUGGUAAGGUAACGGCUUACCAAGGCAACGAUGCGUAGCCGACCUGAGAGGGUGAUCGGCCACACUGGAACUGAGACACGGUCCAGACUCCUACGGGAGGCAGCAGUAGGGAAUCUUCCGCAAUGGGCGAAAGCCUGACGGAGCAACGCCGCGUGAGUGAUGAAGGUCUUCGGAUCGUAAAACUCUGUUAUUAGGGAAGAACAAAUGUGUAAGUAACUAUGCACGUCUUGACGGUACCUAAUCAGAAAGCCACGGCUAACUACGUGCCAGCAGCCGCGGUAAUACGUAGGUGGCAAGCGUUAUCCGGAAUUAUUGGGCGUAAAGCGCGCGUAGGCGGUUUUUUAAGUCUGAUGUGAAAGCCCACGGCUCAACCGUGGAGGGUCAUUGGAAACUGGAAAACUUGAGUGCAGAAGAGGAAAGUGGAAUUCCAUGUGUAGCGGUGAAAUGCGCAGAGAUAUGGAGGAACACCAGUGGCGAAGGCGACUUUCUGGUCUGUAACUGACGCUGAUGUGCGAAAGCGUGGGGAUCAAACAGGAUUAGAUACCCUGGUAGUCCACGCCGUAAACGAUGAGUGCUAAGUGUUAGGGGGUUUCCGCCCCUUAGUGCUGCAGCUAACGCAUUAAGCACUCCGCCUGGGGAGUACGACCGCAAGGUUGAAACUCAAAGGAAUUGACGGG